GCUGGUGUAUAUGAUGACUUAAAACUUUUUUCCCCAUCAGAGCGGCAGUGUUGACCCCUUUCCUGUUAUAGCCAAAAUCUGUCUGAUACACCAGC